UUUGAUGUGAUUAGAAAGAGAAGAAGAAAGAUCCACGAUCCAGAAAGAAAGAGAAUGAUCUUUUUUCACUUUGAUCUUUUUGAAUUUUUUUUUUCUUUUCUGCAAGUUCUCUUAUCUUAUCUAUCUUUCUCUCAUGUGCCUGUAUAUGUCUAUAUCUAUAUGUUAUAUCUGUGGUGUUUUUUUUUUUUUUUGAGAGGUUUUCUUUGUGGGCGUCUUUGCUGUGUUGGGUUUUUGUUGAUUUUUCGAGCCUAUCUGAGAUUCCAGAUCUGUGGUGAAUCAUGUGGCUUUUCUGUGGGGUGGUCUUUAAUCCUAUAAUCAAGAAGCUGAGAAAACCAAGACUUUUGCUACUCCCAAAGACAGAGUUGGGGAUUGAACAUUACGUAUAUUGAGGGAGUUUGAAAGAUCAAGUUUUAAAAUUCCUACAAGCCAAAGCAGAAGAGAGAAAAAGGUCUAAUUUUUUUUCCUCCCCUGUAAAGGAGGCUGAUAGUUAUUAUUCAAAACGUCAAGGGACGUACUUUUUUGGUAAGUGGUUUGUUCUU